rnacentral:tRNA from 1 species
GCCUUCGUGGUGUAAUGUUCAGCACACUGAGCCAGUAUUUCAGAGGUCCGCGGUUCGAUCCCCGGCGAAGGCA